rnacentral:rRNA from 1 species
UAGCUUGCUACCUGACCUAGCGGCGGACGGGUGAGUAAUGCUUAGGAAUCUGCCUAUUAGUGGGGGACAACAUUCCGAAAGGAAUGCUAAUACCGCAUACGCCCUACGGGGGAAAGCAGGGGAUCUUCGGACCUUGCGCUAAUAGAUGAGCCUAAGUCAGAUUAGCUAGUUGGUGGGGUAAAGGCCUACCAAGGCGACGAUCUGUAGCGGGUCUGAGAGGAUGAUCCGCCACACUGGGACUGAGACACGGCCCAGACUCCUACGGGAGGCAGCAGUGGGGAAUAUUGGACAAUGGGCGAAAGCCUGAUCCAGCCAUGCCGCGUGUGUGAAGAAGGCCUUUUGGUUGUAAAGCACUUUAAGCGAGGAGGAGGCUACUUGGAUUAAUACUCUAGGAUAGUGGACGUUACUCGCAGAAUAAGCACCGGCUAACUCUGUGCCAGCAGCCGCGGUAAUACAGAGGGUGCGAGCGUUAAUCGGAUUUACUGGGCGUAAAGCGUGCGUAGGCGGCUUUUUAAGUCGGAUGUGAAAUCCCUGAGCUUAACUUAGGAAUUGCAUUCGAUACUGGGAAGCUAGAGUAUGGGAGAGGAUGGUAGAAUUCCAGGUGUAGCGGUGAAAUGCGUAGAGAUCUGGAGGAAUACCGAUGGCGAAGGCAGCCAUCUGGCCUAAUACUGACGCUGAGGUACGAAAGCAUGGGGAGCAAACAGGAUUAGAUACCCUGGUAGUCCAUGCCGUAAACGAUGUCUACUAGCCGUUGGGGCCUUUGAGGCUUUAGUGGCGCAGCUAACGCGAUAAGUAGACCGCCUGGGGAGUACGGUCGCAAGACUAAAACUCAAAUGAAUUGACGGGGGCCCGCACAAGCGGUGGAGCAUGUGGUUUAAUUCGAUGCAACGCGAAGAACCUUACCUGGUCUUGACAUAGUAAGAACUUUCCAGAGAUGGAUUGGUGCCUUCGGGAACUUACAUACAGGUGCUGCAUGGCUGUC